rnacentral:snRNA from 11 species
AUACUUACCUGACAGGGAAGAUACCAUGGUCAUGGAGGUGGAUUUCCCAGGGCGAGGCUUAUCCACUGCACUC